GUCGUUCUUCCUCCUUCUUCACCUCCUUGGCUCUUUGCCUCCUUACGAAAGAUCAAACUGCUCCAAAUGAGUUUCUGAUUCGAAUCAUGAAGCUUCUAGGGUUUCGAUUUGUCUUCUAGAGUCGUUGUUCUUCACCUCCUUGCCUCCUUUCAUCUCGUCACGAGAUUCCCGAGAUUCCCGUGUCUUCUACUUCUUCUUCUUCACUCUCUCCAGCUCGUGUUUCCUCGUAUCAUACAAUCAAGGUUUCACGGACAUAUGCAAAGGAGUCUCAAAAAUUGCAACCAAAGCUGAGAUUAAAAGUGAGAUGGACUAUGAUACUGUGCACACAAUGGCGCUUCUUGAAGCUCAACGUGAAUACAUGGACAUGAAUGAUGAAGAUGCUGAAUUUGAUAUAGAUGAAGAAAUGGCAGAAACAGAAACAGAAGCAGAAGCAGAAGUUCAGUGUGAACCACAAGCCACUGCAUCAACACAAGCAGCGAAACCUCAACGUGCCAUUGAAGAUCUCUUUGAUGAAAAUGAAGAUGUUGGAAAGAAAGCAAGUAAUUAUGGAGUGGAGUCUUCAGCAUCAAAAGAUUGAUAUGUUUGCUGGAACAAAAAUCCUGGUAGACGUUCAAGAAGGAAAAGAGUAACUUAUAGACACUUAGUGUGAAGUGUGAACUUUAUUUUUCAAUUAUGUUGUGACUGUGAUUUGUAAACUUUGAAUUUUUAGUUGAAGCAAAACAAUGUAAGGUUCUGGAUUCAUAUUUUAUUUGACAGGUAUUUAACAGGUUUCAUCGAAAAGAAAUGCUAUGAUAUAAA